AUGUAGCUGAAGAGUCUUCGAUAGGACGAAACGCACGUCCUGGAU
rnacentral:hammerhead_ribozyme from 1 species